rnacentral:rRNA from 1 species
UACGAAGGGUGCAAGCGUUAAUCGGAAUUACUGGGCGUAAAGCGUGCGUAGGCGGUUUCUUAAGUCUGCUGUGAAAUCCCCGGGCUCAACCUGGGAAUGGCAGUGGAUACUGGGAGGCUAGAGUGUGUCAGAGGAUGGUGGAAUUCCCGGUGUAGCGGUGAAAUGCGUAGAGAUCGGGAGGAACAUCAGUGGCGAAGGCGGCCAUCUGGGACAACACUGACGCUGAGGAGCGAAAGCGUGGGGAGCGAACAGG